CCCGCUGAACUUAAGCAUAUCAAUAAGCGGAGGAAAAGAAACCAACAGGGAUUGCCUCAGUAACGGCGAGUGAAGCGGCAACAGCUCAAAUUUGAAAUCUGGCUUCUUUCAGGGCCCGAGUUGUAAUUUGUAGAGGAUGCCUUCGGGUGUGGCCCCGGCCUAAGUUCCUUGGAACAGGACGUCACAGAGGGUGAGAAUCCCGUAUGUGGCUGGAGGUCUAUGCCCAUGUGAAGCUCCUUCGACGAGUCGAGUUGUUUGGGAAUGCAGCUCAAAAUGGGUGGUAAGUUUCAUCUAAAGCUAAAUACUGGCGGGAGACCGAUAGCGCACAAGUAGAGUGAUCGAAAGAUGAAAAGCACUUUGGAAAGAGAGUUAAAAAGUACGUGAAAUUGUUGAAAGGGAAGCGCUUGCGACCAGACUUGCCCUCGGUUGAUCAACCGGUGUUCUUCACCGGUGCACUCGGCUGAGGUCAGGCCAGCAUCAGUUCAGGCGGUUGGAGAAAGACCUUGGGAAUGUGGCUCCCUCCGGGGAGUGUUAUAGCCCAUGGUGUCAUGCGACCAGCCUGGACUGAGGACCGCGCUUCGUGCUAGGAUGCUGGCGUAAUGGUCGUAAGCGACCCGUCUUGAAACACGG
rnacentral:rRNA from 1 species